GACGAACGCUGGCGGUGUGCUUCACACAUGCAAGUCGAACGAGGUAGCAAUACCUAGUGGCGGACGGGUGAGUAACGCGUGGGAAUCUGCCUUUAGAUGGGGGAUAACGGGUCGAAAGACUCGCUAAUACCGCAUAUGACGAAAGUUGAAAGGAGUAAUCCGUCUAAAGAUGAGCCCGCGUCCGAUUAGCUAGUUGGUAGAGUAAAAGCCUACCAAGGCGACGAUCGGUAACUGGUCUGAGAGGACGACCAGCCACACUGGGACUGAGACACGGCCCAGACUCCUACGGGAGGCAGCAGUGGGGAAUUUUGGACAAUGGGCGCAAGCCUGAUCCAGCCAUGCCGCGUGCAGGAUGAAGGCCUUCGGGUUGUAAACUGCUUUUGUACGGUAGCGAAAAGGCUCUCUCUAAUACAGAGGGCUCAUGACGGUACCGUAAGAAUAAGCACCGGCUAACUACGUG
rnacentral:rRNA from 1 species